CCCUNAAGCAAGCAAGGUAAACAUGUACAGCGGUUUAUUAACACGUCUACCUUGCAUAAGCAACAUCCAGGCGUCGAAACCCCAUACUCCGCCCGGGCGUUAUAUUUUUCCACUUUCGUAUUAGGCCGCCAUCUUGGAUUUGGCAACUGUGGAGGAUUAGGGCGAGGAAAAAUUUGCCGAGGGAGUAGGCGUGAAGUGAUGGGCAAGCGGGGAUGGGGAGGGGAACGAAACUGUCUUUUCAAUUACCGGUCAAGCAUCCAAUUACAAUCCAAGAUGGCGGCAUCGAAAACCUGGUUUAUCAGAAUUUAUCGAGCGUCCCGUUCCAAAAUAACGCCUGCACUGCAAGCUAAUUCCCUGUCGAAGUCUUCUUAUUUCACCAUGGCGUAAGAUGAUGUACGCAAGAUGACCAUCGCUAACAGCUUGAGCUUGGGUCUUCUCCAGCAGUGCCGAUUUGUCACCGAUUGUCAUCAGGUUUCUCUUUGUCCUACGCUCGUAGCAAAUGAAUUUACAUCUUUCCUGCUUACGCUCUAAUAGUAUCGGUGAUGCCAUGGAAAUCGAGAAGUAAGGCAACACGACAAAGCAGACAGAGCGAGAAGAAUCGAAUUUCUUACGGUACGCUGCAAGCAGCAGUUAUACUCAAAAUAAACGAUGAUGUAAAAAGUUCUUACGCACAGCACGCGAAACACGUCACAACAGAAGCUGCUCCCAAAUCCAAACACAACUCAACACUAAGCACUUUGAACUGCGUUGAGAUUAGACGAUUAAAAGAUAGGCAUUGGGGAAAACCUGACGAACAAUGAAAGGUUUCUUGGACUGAUCCAGUCUUGUAAAUGGGGUGGAAAAAAGUUUCAACAACCCCAGAUACCUCAAGUACUUCCCGACGAGAUUUGCAUCAGAACAACGAAGGACAACAGCACGAUUCAUUGAGACUUUCCGAGAGGCGAUACAGGAAAAGACGAAACGCCAUGACACUUUGCAUGAUGGAGGACCUCUUACAGGCAGAGAACUUUCAAAGUCUUUUAAAUAUUUACACAACGAGAAGAGGAUCUAGAAAUUCCGUGGAAUAGAUGUUUUCACCGUUCCAAGCUUGAAAUAUCAAUUCUCUUGUUGGUUUGCUUAGGCAAUGAAUUGAUGUUGAACGGAGAAAUUUGACUUUGAUCACCGUUAGGAGUUAAUUAAACAGUGUUUGGAUUGUGUGGAUAGAAGAUAACAAUGGCCAAGAUUCACAUUGUAUGUACGGUGGUUGCGUGUAAAUCAGCAAUUGGGUACCCAGUGCAAGCAAUAUCAUACACAAUCAUUUCAUUCAAAAUCACUGACGGCCCGGACGUUGUGCCAGCUUAUAAACUGUCCAAUAAGCAAGCUUAGCUGAUAUCAGAAUUAGCAGUUGUAAACACUUUUGCAAUAUAAUUAUUUAUAGGUAAUCAGAAGUCGAUAAGACAUCUGAAGUUAUUUUACAGAAGCUUUAACAGUACCAGGUGAAAAGAGCUGGAAUCGAUCAACGACAAAACAAGAUUAUUUUAACUGUUUUAAACCUUUUUGAUCAUGUCUUGAAAUGAAUAUAUUUUCUUUUGUAGAUAGGUAAGCAUUUUCAUACUUUUUAUUCUCAGCUGCAUGUCAACUAUAAUUAAGCACGUUUAUGAAAUUACAGGUUCUGAAAGGGUGCGUGACUUCUGGCAAAUAACGUGUUCGUCGUAUAUGUCACUAAUCUGAUUCUGUAAUGUAGAAAUAAAAAUGCUUUUACUCUA